AUUGAACGCUGGCGGCAUGCUUUACACAUGCAAGUCGAACGGCAGCGCGGGCUUCGGCCUGGCGGCGAGUGGCGAACGGGUGAGUAAUGCAUCGGAACGUGCCCAGUAGUGGGGGAUAGCCCGGCGAAAGCCGGAUUAAUACCGCAUACGACCUGAGGGUGAAAGCGGGGGACCGAAAGGCCUCGCGCUAUUGGAGCGGCCGAUGUCGGAUUAGCUAGUUGGUGUGGUAAAGGCUUACCAAGGCGACGAUCCGUAGCUGGUCUGAGAGGACGACCAGCCACACUGGGACUGAGACACGGCCCAGACUCCUACGGGAGGCAGCAGUGGGGAAUUUUGGACAAUGGGGGCAACCCUGAUCCAGCCAUGCCGCGUGCGGGAAGAAGGCCUUCGGGUUGUAAACCGCUUUUGUUCGGGAAGAAAUCCUCUGGGCUAAUACCCCGGGGGGAUGACGGUACCGGAAGAAUAAGCACCGGCUAACUACGUG
rnacentral:rRNA from 1 species